AUAACUCCAUGACUAUAUGUUUGAUGUUUUCAUUGAAUUUAGUUUCAUCUACGAUCUGACAUUUUCUUACGAGAAAACUGUUGUUUACUAUCAGUUGUGAUUUUUUUGUGUAAAAGAACCCUGUCGACUCAGUGCGCGGCAACGUUCUAUUAUACAUUUACCGAUUGCAAAUCGGCAUUGCGUUCAUAAUCCAAAGUUUAUACACUACGAUCGGAUCAUGCAUUUUGGUAAACAUUAUUGGAAUUCCCAAAACUCAAAACCAUGAUGAAAUCACUCUCCCCUCAUCUGUUACUGUGACGGAGUUAACUUCGGUUCCAGUACAGUUAUCAAGUUUAUCAACCAACGGUACUCCGAGAAGAAGACCAAGACUUCCACCAUUUUCACCAAUUUCCCGAUUAGACAAUGAAAAGCCUCUUUCUACAACGAUUACUGGAAUUGACUUUACUUCAGUUCGAAUAAAUUCAUCGAGUUCUCCGAGAAUUAGACCGAGACGUCCAACAUUAGCGUAAAUUCUUCGAUUAGAUAAUGGAGAGAUUGUCCUUACAACAAUCAACGAAAUGCAAUGAAGUUCAGUUGGAGUGAAUUUAAUGAGUUCACCAGCCAACAGUGCACCGACAACUAUAUCGAGACGUGCACAAUUGCCAACAAUUCCUCUAUUAGAUUCUGAAGAAAUAGUCCAGACAUCAUGCCGACAGAAAGAAUACAUAUAAUAUACGAAGUUAAUGAUCUGCAGAUUAAACGUCGUUAAGAAUUGGCUAACAAAAAUGACGGGAAAAAUCAAAUAAACCAAUUAAUUAGAAACAUCGAAUCAGAAUUACGAUGCAAUAUUUGCUUUGAAAUUUUUACUAAGCCAACUAUUCUUAACUGUUCACACAUGUUUUACCAUCAGUGUAUUGAAACUUGGACGAACAGUAUUAAUAAAUGUCCAUUAUGUCGAACGUUGGUGACAAAUAAGACGUAUUGUCUUCCAUUAAACACAUUUUUAAAUAAAAUAAGUCCCUGUUUAUUAGAUGAAAUAAGUGGAAGACGUGAAUAACUGAAAAUAAAAAUAAUGAAUGGUACGACUAAUAUAAGCAUACAAUGAAAUAAUAGAAAUAAUAUGAUGCACCGCAUUGGACUGACGUGAAGAUACCGAGAGGAAUAAUACUAG